GCCAGGUGUGGUGGCGCACAUCUAUAGUCCAGCUACUUGGGAGGCUGAGAUGGGAGGAUUGCUUCAGCCCAGGAGGUCGAGGCUGUAGUGAGCUAUGAUUGUGCCUCUGCACUCCAGCCUGGGUGGCAGAGUGAGACCCCAUCUCAA
rfam:Pongo abelii chromosome 19.